rnacentral:rRNA from 1 species
AAUUAUUGGGCGUAAAGAGCUCGUAGGCGGUUUGUUCGCGUUCUAUCGUGAAAGUCCGAGGCUCAACCUCGGAUCUGCGGUGGGUACGGGCAGACUAGAGUGAUGUAGGGGAGACUGGAAUUCCUGGUGUAGCGGUGAAAUGCGCAGAUAUCAGGAGGAACACCGAUGGCGAAGGCAGGUCUCUGGGCAUUAACUGACGCUGAGGAGCGAAAGCAUGGGGAGCGAACAGGAUUAGAUACCCUGGUAGUCCAUGCCGUAAACGUUGGGCACUAGGUGUGGGGGACAUUCCACGUUUUCCGCGCCGUAGCUAACGCAUUAAGUGCCCCGCCUGGGGAGUACGGCCGCAAGGCUAAAACUCAAAGGAAUUGACGGGGGCCCGCACAAGCGGCGGAGCAUGCGGAUUAAUUCGAUGCAACGCGAAGAACCUACCAAGGCUUGACAUGUGCCAGACCGCCGUGGAAACACGGUUUCCCCUUUGGGGCUGGUUCACAGGUGGUGCAUGGUUGUCGUCAGCUCGUGUCGUGAGAUGUUGGGUUAAGUCCCGCAACGAGCGCAACCCUCGUUCUAUGUUGCCAGCACGUGAUGGUGGGGACUCAUAGGAGACUGCCGGGGUCAACUCGGAGGAAGGUGGGGACGACGUCAAAUCAUCAUGCCCCUUAUGUCUUGGGCUUCACGCAUGCUACAAUGGCCGGUACAAUGGGUUGCGAUACUGUGAGGUGGAGCUAAUCCCA